GAUGAACGCUAGCGGCAGGCCUAAUACAUGCCAGUCGAACGGGAUCCAGAUCAAAGCUUGCUUUGGUCUGGUGAGAGUGGCGCACGGGUGCGUAACGCGUGAGCAACCUACCCUUGUCAGGGGGAUAGCCCGGCGAAAGUCGGAUUAAUACCGCAUGACAUCAUUGAGAGGCAUCUUUCGAUGAUCAAAGAUUUAUCGGACAAGGAUGGGCUCGCGUGACAUUAGCUAGUUGGUAAGGUAACGGCUUACCAAGGCUGCGAUGUCUAGGGGCUCUGAGAGGAGAAUCCCCCACACUGGUACUGAGACACGGACCAGACUCCUACGGGAGGCAGCAGUAAGGAAUAUUGGUCAAUGGACGGAAGUCUGAACCAGCCAUGCCGCGUGCAGGAGGACGGCCCUAUGGGUUGUAAACUGCUUUUAUACGGGAACAAACGUCGGUACGUGUACCGGUCUGAGUGUACCGUAAGAAUAAGGAUCGGCUAACUCCGUG
rnacentral:rRNA from 1 species